UACAGAGGUCUCAAGCGUUGUUCGGAUUCAUUGGGCGUAAAGGGUGCGUAGGUGGCGGGGUAAGUCGGGGGUGAAAUUUCGGAGCUUAACUCCGAAACUGCAUUUGAUACUGCGUUGCUUGAGGACUGGAGAGGAGACUGGAAUUCACGGUGUAGCAGUGAAAUGCGUAGAGAUCGUGAGGAAGACCAGUGGCGAAGGCGGGUCUCUGGACAGUUCCUGACACUGAGGCACGAAGGCCAGGGGAGCAAACGGG
rnacentral:rRNA from 1 species